UUUCCGUAGGUGAACCUGCGGAAGGAUCAUUACUGAAGAUUAGGCCUUCGGGUCGCUCUUCCACCCUUUGUUUACCUUUACCAUGUUGCUUUGGCGGGCCGCCUUAGGCUACCGGCUCUCGGGCUGGUGAGCGCCCGCCAGAGACACCCUGAACCCUAACCAUUUUGACGUUUGUCUGAGAAAAAACUUAAUUGUUAAAACUUUCAACAACGGAUCUCUUGGCUCUG
rnacentral:misc_RNA from 1 species